rnacentral:rRNA from 1 species
UGGGGAAUUUUCCGCAAUGGGCGAAAGUCUGAGGGAGCAAUGCCGCGUGGAGGUGGAAGGCCUACGGGUCGUCAACUUCUUUUCUCGGAGAAGAAACAAUGACGGUAUCUGAGGAAUAAGCAUCGGCUAACUCUGUGCCAG